GCCGAGGUAGCUCAGGGGUAGAGCAGUGGACUGAAAAUCCACGUGUCGUGAGUUCAAAUCUCACCCUCGGCACCA
rnacentral:tRNA from 1 species